rnacentral:rRNA from 1 species
GGAUCUGCCCUUCACUAUGGGACAAGCCCUGGAAACGGGUUCUAAUACCGGAUAACACUCCCUCCCUCCUGGGUGGGGGUUAAAAGCUCCGGCGGUGAAGGAUGAGCCCGCGGCCUAUCAGCUUGUUGGUGAGGUAAUGGCUCACCAAGGCGACGACGGGUAGCCGGCCUGAGAGGGCGACCGGCCACACUGGGACUGAGACACGGCCCAGACUCCUACGGGAGGCAGCAGUGGGGAAUAUUGCACAAUGGGCGAAAGCCUGAUGCAGCGACGCCGCGUGAGGGAUGACGGCCUUCGGGUUGUAAACCUCUUUCAGCAGGGAAGAAGCGAAAGUGACGGUACCUGCAGAAGAAGCGCCGGCUAACUACGUGCCAGCAGCCGCGGUAAUACGUAGGGCGCAAGCGUUGUCCGGAAUUAUUGGGCGUAAAGAGCUCGUAGGCGGCUUGUCACGUCGGGUGUGAAAGCCCGGGGCUUAACCCCGGGUCUGCAUUCGAUACGGGCUAGCUAGAGUGUGGUAGGGGAGAUCGGAAUUCCUGGUGUAGCGGUGAAAUGCGCAGAUAUCAGGAGGAACACCGGUGGCGAAGGC